ACCGUCCCUGAGGCGCGCGGCACACCGGGCAGCGGGGCGGCCAUCGGCGGCGGCGACGUCCUGGCUAGGCGGCCGCCCGCGCAGGAGGCACGUCGGCGAGCGGCCCCGGCGCUGCCGGGCGUUUCGGGCGGAGGCUGCUCUCCGCUCCCGCUGCGGAGGGGGGGAGGUGGCGGGGAGCGAGGGGAAGCGCCGCCCGGGCGGCGAGCGGCACCGAACGCCUUCCCCGGCACACGUGCGCGGGCGGCGGCGGGGGUGGGCGGCCGCCGGCUCCACGCUGUGGCGGUCGGGUGCAGAGCCGUGCCCUUUCGGCUGCCGCCGCCGCGCCGGGGCGGGAGGUGCCCUGCGCUCCGCUCCCUGGCGGCACAGCGGGGUGGGCCCCGGCAGGUGCGCGGCUCCCCCUCCCUCAUCCCGGGACUCGAGGGCGCGGUAUCACCCAGCCCGUCCGGGGUGUCGAGCCGCGCCUGACAGGGAGUCGGGGCGGCCGAGGUCGGGGGGUGCUGCCCCUUGCCUCCUCAGGAGUUGGCUCGGGCCUGGCCGGUAACCUUCUCCCCGGCUAGGCCGGCCCCUGGCGCACGGGUGCGCACCGGGGCUCACACGCGCACCACCGGAGGGGCCUGGCGCUUCUCUAAGCGCCUGACAAAUCAUUAACGAAGCUGCCCCAUCCCUCUGUGAGGUCGGGGAUUUAUGGUUGUGCCUUAGAGAAAUAAGGAAUGAACAAGGCCGGAGGACAGACCCCUACCUUCGUGCCAAACAAGCAGCUCUCGGGAGGAGGCUGGGUUGCCAGCCGGGCCCAGGGAUCGCGUUCAGCUGCAGCUCUGAUGAGAGGGGAAAGUGGUUUAUCCUUGUGCCUUCGGCUCCACCCCAGCAGCCUGCGCCGCUGAAGAAGCCAGCUCCUGUCCUGCUUUAUGUACACAGAAUCCUAUGUGGCAAUUCCACAGCCACCCUUAUCAGCGUUCUUGCUAUUGAAAAAUAAAAUUACCCCCUCACUGUAUGAAGAACAGUUUGACAGCAUCAGAGUGGGUAAAAUUGUGUAAAUCAGUCAAUUUGAUACAAAGUCAAAUAGUUGGAAGUCCAGCCCCGGUAAAAACAGCUGUAGGUAGAAGCCUUCUGACUGUACUUGGCGUGCUCAGGGGCAGUAGCUGAGAUGUCCGACUGGUGAAAAUACGUGGGACGUGUGCUUUGCUGUUUUUCUGAAGCCACCUAAGAAAUUGUCACACACAAGCCAAUUUUUCAAUUUGGAAGAAAUAUUUUUCUGAUUCAGAAACAAUACUCAGAGUUUUCAUUUUGGCUGAGUCACAGAUGAUUUUGCAGGACGUUUAUUUUCAAUUAAACGAAGGAUUCCUUCUCAGAACAGCUCAUUCUCUAUUACACUGAUAGCAGCAGUGCAAGCUCAAGUUGAUCAACAAUUCUUACAUACAGAGACUGGCAAACAUACCUGGGAUAUUACAGUGUCAGAUGCUUGACUGGAUUUGCUCACUGGUUGUGAACAGCUAUGUUUUUACACAACUGCACAGAUCAGACCACUGUUUUUUUCCCAAUUGAUUCACUGCCAUAAAUGUGGCAUGUUAAACCUCACUGUCUUCAAAAGAAUAGAAGGAGGGAGAGCUGGCCUGGGUGCUCUGGGUUGAAAACAGGUCGGGAAGAGAUAAAAACCUUCAAGUGGCAAUUGUGUGCUGAUGUUAAUCAGCAUUAUAAAAGUUGAGCCAUGAAAAGAAAAUAUGCUUUGACUUUUCACCCAGUCUGUGCAACUAACUGUUGCAUAGCUGCAACCUGACAUACAUGGUACGUUUUUCUGUCUCUGGCUUAGUCAUUUAAUUGUUUUAAAAUGGCAGGCAAAUAAAAAACGCAAUUAGAAGGAAUAUUAGCAAAUAAAUACUUCUAUGUUUCAAAAUAACUUUGCUAGGAUUCUAAUGAGUCAUGACAGGAAAAAUGCCACUUGUAGGAAAGAGCAAUAAGAAAUGUAAUGCUAUUAUAAUUUUACUUGAAUGUAGUAAUUUAAGAAACAGAUUGUCUUAAAAAUAUUUCUUUUCUUAUCAUCUGUCCUGAUGCUUGUUGCUUUCAGUGCUUUCUGUGGCAAUAGCAUUUUAUGAGAAAAAUACAGUCAUUGGGAAACUGAGGCAGGGAAAGACCUAUACUGGCUGUUCCAGUGUAGCAUUGGAAAUGUUGCAUAGGUGAGAAUGCGACAUUCAGGUUUCUCCUGACUUACUGUCUCUCUUUGCAAACAACUGCAAGGAUAAAAAAGAUUGUUGGAGCUUGGCUAAAAAUACCUGAGAGCAUUUGACCUAGACUCAAUUCAGGUGUAACCUUUUUUAACUCUUCCUUUGAACAAGUACAAGCCCUGUAAUCUGUGGACAAUUAAUAGUGUUGAUACUAAAACAGCUUUCUUCUAAGUCCUGACACCAGAGUAUUUGUUGAGCUGUGUCAUUUGGCUUCCUUUUUGUCUUAAGUACAUCUAAGCUGCCUAGUCUGGUUUUGAAACUUGCUAUGCUUCUGCAGCACAGUGGUCCUUGUUCUAAGGAUUAACAUUUCCCUAAAACUGAUUUUCUGAGCAUUCUUCAAUCCUCAACUGAGGAGUUUUGUUUUCUAUUUAACUUAAUAAUGUUUGUUAGCCCUAAUCAUGUCUAGGUGUUUAUUAGGUAAAAUUAAAAAUAUAUAUUGUGGAAAACCCCAAUGGAUUCAAGGUAUUCAGGAUGCACCCCACUUCCAGGAAAUCAAGCUCUCCAGGUCUCAAAAGCCUGUGUGCUAUUUAGAACCAUGGCACUUGAUUAAUGUGACAAAAUUAUGCUUUUAAUUAGAGUAAACUUUCACUGUUAUUACUGACAAAAUGAAGGUUUAAAAAAUCCAAACUAUCUGUGAUUAUCUAUGAAAACAGUGGGGGGGUUUUGUUGGAAUUUUUUUUUUUUCACCCUUUCACACAUCUCCCCUUGCUUUUAUCAAGAUGUCUUCAGUGUGGUUUCAUAUGUAUAAUGGCUUCACCAUAAAAAGCUUCACUGUAA
ensembl:lncRNA